CUGUGCGCCAUCGCGGGCGUGCUGACCAUCGCUCUGCCCGUGCCCGUCAUCGUCUCCAAC
rfam:Colius striatus contig106779, whole genome shotgun sequence.